GAUGAACGCUGGCGGCGUGCCUAAUACAUGCAAGUCGAGCGAACGGACGAGAAGCUUGCUUCUCUGAUGUUAGCGGCGGACGGGUGAGUAACACGUGGAUAACCUACCUAUAAGACUGGGAUAACUUCGGGAAACCGGAGCUAAUACCGGAUAAUAUUUUGAACCGCAUGGUUCAAAAGUGAAAGACGGUCUUGCUGUCACUUAUAGAUGGAUCCGCGCUGCAUUAGCUAGUUGGUAAGGUAACGGCUUACCAAGGCAACGAUGCAUAGCCGACCUGAGAGGGGGAUCGGCCACACUGGAACUGAGACACGGUCCAGACUCCUGCGGGAGGCAGCAGUAGGGAAUCUUCCGCAAUGGGCGAAAGCCUGACGGAGCAACGCCGCGUGAGUGAUGAAGGUCUUCGGAUCGUAAAACUCUGUUAUUAGGGAAGAACAUAUGUGUAAGUAACUGUGCACAUCUUGACGGUACCUAAUCAGAAAGCCACGGCUAACUACGUG
rnacentral:rRNA from 1 species